UGGUGCUGAUAUCGAUGUCAGAUUAGCUAGUUGGUGAGGUAACGGCUUACCAAGGCGACGAUCUGUAGCGGGUCUGAGAGGAUGAUCCGCCACACUGGAACUGAGACACGGUCCAGACUCCUACGGGAGGCAGCAGUGGGGAAUUUUGGACAAUGGGGGCAACCCUGAUCCAGCCAUGCCGCGUGAGUGAAGAAGGCCUUCGGGUUGUAAAGCUCUUUCGGCCGGGAAGAAAUCGCAUGGGCCAAUACCCUGUGUGGAUGACGGUACCGGAAUAAGAAGCACCGGCUGACUACGUGCCAGCAGCCGCGGUAAUACGUAGGGUGCGAGCGUUAAUCGGAAUUACUGGGCGUAAAGCGUGCGCAGGCGGUUUUGUAAGACAGGCGUGAAAUCCCCGGGCUCAACCUGGGAACUGCGUUUGUGACUGCAAGGCUAGAGUACGGCAGAGGGGGGUGGAAUUCCACGUGUAGCAGUGAAAUGCGUAGAGAUGUGGAGGAACACCAAUGGCGAAGGCAGCCCCCUGGGUCGAUACUGACGCUCAUGCACGAAAGCGUGGGUAGCAAACAGGAUUAGAUACCCUGGUAGUCCACGCCCUAAACUAUGUCAACUAGGUGUUGGGUGGGUAAAACCAUUUAGUACCGUAGCUAGCGCGUGAAGUUGACCGCCUGGGGAGUACGGCCGCAAGGUUAAAACUCAAAGGAAUUGACGGGGACCCGCACAAGCGGUGGAUGAUGUGGAUUAAUUCGAUGCAACGCGAAAAACCUUACCUACCCUUGACAUGCCAGGAACUUGCCAGAGAUGGCUUGGUGCCCGAAAGGGAGCCUGGACACAGGUGCUGCAUGGCUGUCGUCAGCUCGUGUCGUGAGAUGUUGGGUUAAGUCCCGCAACGAGCGCAACCCUUGUCGUUAAUUGCCAUCAUUUAGUUGGGCACUUUAGCGAGACUGCCGGUGACAAACCGGAGGAAGGUGGGGAUGACGUCAAGUCCUCAUGGCCCUUAUGGGUAGGGCUUCACACGUCAUACAAUGGUCGGUACAAAGGGUCGCCAAGCCGCGAGGUGGAGCCAAUCCCAGAAAGCCGAUCGUAGUCCGGAUUGCAGGCUGCAACUCGCCUGCAUGAAGUCGGAAUCGCUAGUAAUCGUGGAUCAGCAUGUCACGGUGAAUACGUUCCCGGGUCUUGUACACACCGCCCGUCACACCAUGGGAGCGGGUUCCGCCAGAAGUAGGUAGCCUAACCGCAAGGAGGGCGCUUACCACGGCGGGGUUCGUGACUGGGGUGAAGUCGAAACAAGGUAGCCGUAGGGGAACCUGCGGCUG
rnacentral:rRNA from 1 species